rnacentral:rRNA from 1 species
UACGUAGGGACCGAGCGUUGUCCGGAAUCAUUGGGCGUAAAGAGCGUGUAGGCGGCCAAUUAAGUCCUGCGUGAAAUCUCGGGGCUCAACCCCGAGCGGUCGUGGGAAACUGGUUGGCUAGAGUGCGGGAGAGGAGAGUGGAAUUCCUGGUGUAGCGGUGAAAUGCGCAGAUAUCAGGAGGAACACCGGUGGCGAAGGCGACUACCUGGCCUGUUCUUGACGCUGAGGCGCGAAAGCUAGGGGAGCAAACGGG